UAGGAACGUUUGAGUCCUCGGCGUACGACGGACGAACGCUGGCGGCGGUGCUUAACACAUGCAAGUCGAACGGAAAGGCCCUGCUUUUGUCGGGGUGCUCGAGUGGCGAACGGGUCGAGGUAACACGUGAGUAACCUGCCCCUUGACUUUGGGGAGUAACUUCAGGGAAACUGGGGCGUAAUACCGGAUAGGAGCUCCUGCUGCAUGGUGGGGGUUGGAAAGUUUCGGCGGUUGGGGAUGGACUCGCGGCUUAUCAGCUUGUUGGUGGGGUAGUGGCUUACCAAGGCUUUGACGGGUAGCCGGCCUGAGACGGGUGACCGGCCACAUUGGGACUGAGAUACGGCCCAGACUCCUACGGGAGGCAGCAGUGGGGAAUAUUGCACAAUGGGCGGAAGCCUGAUGCAGCAACGCCGCGUGCGGGAUGACGGCCUUCGGGUUGUAAACCGCUUUCGCCUGUGACGAAGCGUGAGUGACGGUAAUGGGUAAAGAAGCACCGGCUAACUACGUG
rnacentral:rRNA from 1 species